AUGGUUCGCAGGGCUGAAGCCGGCUGGUCGCUGCGCUUGCUGAAGCGUUGGCAUCCCUCACAUUUGAGGACUAGUGACUCAGUGUCUUGGAGGGUCGUGGCAUUUCUCCUUUUUUUUCCACCCCAGGCUUUGCAACAUUUUGAAAUCAGGAAAUUGCGACAAGCCAAGAAAAUUGCUUCCGCGCCGAGAACCGAAGAUUGUGUGGGUUGUAAGAGAUGUCAAUCUGCCUACCCGACAGAUUUUCUAGUAGAAGACAUGGCGGAAAGCCUUGGCCACUAG
rnacentral:rRNA from 1 species